UGGGGUUUUGGCUCAGUGGUAGAGCAUUCGCCUUGCACGUGCAAGACCCUGGGUUCGAUCCUCAGCAUCACAU
rnacentral:tRNA from 1 species